AGAGUUUGAUCCUGGCUCAGGACGAACGCUGGCGGCGUGCUUAACACAUGCAAGUCGAACGGUGACGAUCAAGCUUGCUUGGUCUGAUCAGUGGCGAACGGGUGAGUAACACGUGAGUAACCUGCCCCAGACUCUGGGAUAACCCCGGGAAACCGGAGCUAAUACCGGAUAUGACACCAACGGGCAUCCGUAUGGUGUGGAAAGUUUUUUCGGUCUGGGAUGGACUCGCGGCCUAUCAGCUUGUUGGUGAGGUAGUGGCUCACCAAGGCGACGACGGGUAGCCGGCCUGAGAGGGCGACCGGCCACACUGGGACUGAGACACGGCCCAGACUCCUACGGGAGGCAGCAGUGGGGAAUAUUGCACAAUGGGCGAAAGCCUGAUGCAGCGACGCCGCGUGAGGGAUGACGGCCUUCGGGUUGUAAACCUCUUUCAGCAGGGAAGAAGCGCAAGUGACGGUACCUGCAGAAGAAGCACCGGCUAACUACGUGCCAGCAGCCGCGGUAAUACGUAGGGUGCGAGCGUUGUCCGGAAUUAUUGGGCGUAAAGAGCUUGUAGGUGGUUUGUCGCGUCUGCUGUGAAAAUCCGAGGCUCAACCUCGGACUUGCAGUGGGUACGGGCAGACUAGAGUGUGGUAGGGGAGACUGGAACUCCUGGUGUAGCGGUGGAAUGCGCAGAUAUCAGGAGGAACACCGAUGGCGAAGGCAGGUCUCUGGGCCAUUACUGACACUGAGAAGCGAAAGCAUGGGGAGCGAACAGGAUUAGAUACCCUGGUAGUCCAUGCCGUAAACGUUGGGAACUAGGUGUGGGUCUCAUUCCACGAGAUCCGUGCCGCAGCUAACGCAUUAAGUUCCCCGCCUGGGGAGUACGGCCGCAAGGCUAAAACUCAAAGGAAUUGACGG
rnacentral:rRNA from 1 species